UCCCUGGUAGCUCAGAUGGUAAAGCGUCUGCCUACAAUGCGGGAGACCCGGGUUCGAUCCCUGGGUUGGGAA
rnacentral:tRNA from 1 species